GAUGAAGAACGUAGCGAAAUGCGAUAAGUAGUGUGAAUUGCAGAAUUCAGUGAAUCAUCGAAUCUUUGAACGCACAUUGCGCCCUUUGGUAUUCCUUAGGGCAUGCCUGUUCGAGCGUCAUUUAAACCUUCAAGCUAAGCUUGGUGUUGGGUGACUGUCCGCUUCACGGCGGACUCGCCUCAAAAUUAUUGGCGGCCGGUACAUUGGCUUCGAGCGCAGCAGAAACGCGAACUCGGGCCCGUCGUAUUGGCUCCCAGAAGCUAUCUUCACAAUUUUGACCUCGGAUCAGGUAGGGAUACCGGCUGAACUUAAGCAUAUCAAUAAGCGGAGGA
rnacentral:misc_RNA from 1 species